rnacentral:snRNA from 1 species
AUUGCUUCUCGGCCUUUUGGCUAAGAUCAAGUGUAGAAAGUGAAUUCCAUAGCUUCAGGAUGUGGAGUUCUAAAUAUAUCUGUCAAGUCCAUCUGGUCCAAUGUCUCAUUUAGGGCCAUUAUUAUUAUUAUUAUUAAUUUAUUUUUUAGCAAUUCUCUGUCUAGUUGAUCUAGUCAUUGCUGUAAGUGGAGUAUUAAAGUCUCCUGCAAUUAGCACAUUCUUA